AUGUCAGACUGUCCCCAUAUCACGAUAUCCUCAUAUCACGACAUCCCCAUGUCACAACAUCCCUGUGUUAAACCUACAUCCCCAUAUCUUGAUGUCCCCAUGUCACAACAUCCCCAUAUCACGACAUCCCCAUAUCAUGACAUCCCCUUGUUACACUGUCCCCAUGUCACAACAUCCCCAUAUCACGACAUCCCCAUAUCACUGUGUCCCCAUGUCACCAUGUCCCCAUGUCACGACAUCCCCAUAUCACAUUGUCCCCAUGUCACGACAUCCCCAUGUCACACUGUCCCCAUGUCACGACAUCCCCAGGUCUCGACAUCCCCAUAUCACAGUAUCCUGAUGUCACGACAGUCCUGUGACACGACAUCCCCAUGUCACGACAUCCCCAUGUCACACUGUCCCCACGACACGAC
rnacentral:lncRNA from 1 species